rnacentral:rRNA from 1 species
AUUGAACGCUGGCGGCAUGCCUUACACAUGCAAGCCGAACGGUAACGGGCCUUCGGGUGCCGACGAGUGGCGAACGGGUGAGUAAUGUAUCGGAACGUACCUUUCAGUGGGGGAUAACGUAGCGAAAGUUACGCUAAUACCGCAUAUUCUGUGUGUAGGAAAGCAGGGGAUCGCAAGACCUUGCGCUGAUUGAGCGGCCGAUAUCAGAUUAGCUAGUUGGUGAGGUAAAGGCUCACCAAGGCGACGAUCUGUAGCGGGUCUGAGAGGAUGAUCCGCCACACUGGAACUGAGACACGGUCCAGACUCCUACGGGAGGCAGCAGUGGGGAAUUUUGGACAAUGGGGGCAACCCUGAUCCAGCCAUGCCGCGUGAGUGAAGAAGGCCUUCGGGUUGUAAAGCUCUUUCGGCCGGGAAGAAAUCGUAUCAGCUAAUACCUGGUGCGGAUGACGGUACCGGCAUAAGAAGCACCGGCUAACUACGUGCCAGCAGCCGCCGCGGUAA